UGACGAGUUUGAUCCUGGCUCAGGACGAACGCUUGCGGCGUGCCUAAGAAAUGCAAGUCGAACGGGGACUUCGGUCCUAGUGGCGAACGGUCGCGUAACACGUAAGCAACCUGCCCUGAAGUGGGGGACACAGUCCGAAAGGGGUGCUAAUACCGCAUGUGGUCACGAGUCGGCAUCGACUUGUGUCUAAAGAUUUAUCGCUUCAGGAUGGGCUUGCGGCCUAUCAGGUAGUUGGUGGGGUAAUGGCCUACCAAGCCGACGACGGGGUAGCUGGUCUGAGAGGAUGAUCAGCCACAC
rnacentral:rRNA from 1 species